GGUCAGUGAUGAAUAGUAAAAGGUCUGACUUCCGAGGUCGCCUCCCAGCAGCCUACAUCCCCAGCUGCUUACCUUUCCCAUCAUGCUCUAGUAGUGCUAUCAUGGGAAAACACAGUAGCUGACAUGCAGUGAUGUCUCCAUUUUGUCUUCCCUGACAAGAGCCCAGAGAAGACACUGGUUAGCAUCCGACAGCUCAGUCACAAGGGAUUUGAUUGUUGGGAAUGCUGGCGGCCUUGGCUAUGAUCUGACAUUUUAAGCUGAGACC